AUUUUUUUUGGUCUUUUUUUGUUCUUCACUUUUUUCCCUCUUAUUUUGCAAGCCACCAAGGCGUGGUUAUGGAAAAUUACAGAAAGGUAAUAUUUUGGUUUACUAACUAAAGGAAUCAGCUCUGGAAAGAGUCAAGGGAUAUU
rnacentral:ribozyme from 1 species